GGGAUGGACAGGGCAGCCUGGUGUGCUGCAGUCCAUGCAGUCGCAAAGAGUCGGACACAACUGAGCAACUGAACUGAACUGAAUUCACAGAAUCACUAGAAAGGCUGAAGAGUCAGGAAGAAAGUGGGCAAGAACCAAGGGAGCCUGGACAAACAAGACCAGGGUGGUCAAACUCAGGCCUGAAGAGCCACCUGGAGAGGAUGUCAGGGCUUGUGCUGGAUGGAACUCCAUGGCCACACGUGACAGAGGAUGCUGCUGUCAGCCCGGCCACGGCCACUGGCUGGACUACCCUGCUCUCUCUUCCUGUUAACUCCGGAAUCAAGGCCUGAAGUGGGCAUCCGGCUGGCAGGCCCCAGGUACAUGCCUUUGCCCUAGCUGCCAUCGGGCAAGGGAGAGCUGGCCUCUGAAAAUCCAAUUUCCCCACUGUGGAAAUAACCCAGCCUCCCACCAAGAAUCACGUGUAAGUGUAGUGUCCACACAUUGAAAAAGGAUUCCGAGGCUGAGCAGCUUAAAAACAACUGUCCAGCACACCAUGCCAGGUGCACCCAUGACCACGGUCCUGCCGGCACCUCCAUCCCAAAGGCUAGGGCCACCGGACUUCGGACUUGACCAUCCAGUGACACUAAACGCACUGCGUUCCUUCAGUCCUCUGGGGCACGUGGUCACACAAAUAAAGAUGACACUUUCCAACCUCCCCUCCAGCUGAUAUGGAAAGACCCAACCAAAGCAACAUGAGCAGAAGCCAUGUGUGUAACUUCAAGUCACAUCCUUAAAAGGAGGCAUGUGUCUCCCUUCCUCCCUUCUGCUGUUUUCAGUGUGAAUGUGGGGAAGAGGCACCUUGGAUCAAGCUGGUGUAGGCCAUACUCUGCAAAGGCAGAGCAAAAUGUCAGCAUGAGCCUGGGUCCCUAGAAGAUCCCAAAGAGCAAAGCCCCCAUACAAGCACUGAAGCACCUUCUUCCAGACUGUUCCAUGGGAAAGACAUUUGCAUUUUGUAUAAGCUACUCUUGAGAGUCCUUUGGACAACAGGGUAAUCAAACCAGUCAAUCCUAAAGGAAAUCAACCUUGAAUAGUCAUUGGAAGGACUGAUGCUGAAGCUCCAAUACUUUGGUCUUCUGAUGCGAAGAGUUGCCUCACUGGAAAAGACCUUGAUGCUGAGAAAGAUUGAGGACAAAAGGAGGAGGGGGCGACAGAGGAUGAGGUUGGAUGGCAUCACUGACUCAGUGGAGCAAACUUUAGGAGAUGGUAAAGGACGCGGAAGCCUGCUGUGCUGCAGUCCAUGGGAUUGCAGAGUCGGACACAACUGAGUGACUGAACAACAAAGCCACUCUUAUUUUGAGUUUCUAUUACAAGCAGCUGACCUCAUAUGCUAGCAAAUAUUACUAAUCAAACUUGAAAUCCAGCUACUUUUCUCACCAUCAACAUACAUUCCUGGCCCCUGGAAAGCUAGAAUAUUCUCUCUAUGUGGUGGGACUCCAGCAGUUUCUACAUAGAUCUAUCUCCCCUACCUCAAACCCUACUCCACCCACUGUCCCAAAGAUUCCUGAAGGCUCUCUCUCUGAAAAAGCCAAGGCUUCCAUCUCUGGUAAAUUAUAACCCCGAGGAGGAAUAACAGACUAUACUAUUAAUCAGUUUUUGUACCUGUGAAAGGCAGAACUGAGAAUGUUCUGCUAAGGAGGGGAAAAAGGCUUUAAAAUAAAAAUGUGGCACCACUGAAAACCCAUAAACCUCACAGAUUUGCCUAAGAUUGGUGUGAGGAUAGAGCCAAACCAAACACUGCCACCGUGACCCCACUCUUGAAGAAUACCUCCUAAGUCUUAAUACCCUCCCCAACAACCGAAACUGGCCUCAGCAGCACUGAUCAUGCCGAGGAGAGUGGGGCCUCCCUG
ensembl:lncRNA